GGGCCAUAGCUCAGUGGCAGCGCAUCAGCUUUGCAUUCUGAAGGGUCCAGGUUCAAUCCCCAGCAUCUCUA